GGACAAAACCGUUAUACGACUGCCACUGCACAUCGAAACGUCACGACGACGGCCCCGAACGAUACCACGUAUUCCACGCACCGUUCUCCGUUCUUUUCCAUACCCUUUCUGCCCCUCUCUCUCCUUCCUGCACGAAGGAAGCGGGACGCAUACGCAACGAACAAAAAGAUCUGAUCUCGGCGCUCGCUACACACACACACACACAGACACUAUCCUGGUCUGUCUCUUUGCCGAUUCUCUUGCCCCCAGAAUGCCGCAUCCCCCCUUCCCCUCCUCCUCUCCCUCCAACCUACGCGAAGGGUGCGCUUUUCCCUCCCCUCUUGCCUUCCACAUCGAGCAUGCGUGCGCGCGCUGCUAUGAAGGAGGGAGGGGUGUGAACCAAGCAAGCAAAACGACCGAGACGAGCGCGCGGAGAGCGUGCACGACGCAGCACAGCCGCCGACAAUACAAACACAUACACACAUAGAAGUGCGCAUCAGAGGUAUUCCUCCCAUUUUCUCCUCGUCGAGCAGGACACUAAAGGAAAACGAUGCAGUAAAGUCGGCCUCCUCUUCUGCGUUCUCCGUUCCUUCUGCGCGUGCGCGUGUGCGAGGGCUGCUUCUCUCCUCCCUCUCUUUCCAUUCCCUCUUGUUUCCGCAAUCCUUUCUCCUCCCGCCCGCACCCGCUGCUGGGAGACGACGCAGAUGCCGACGUGGGCCACUGCUGAGCACUCGGACCUUGCCCAAAUCGUCAGAAGCGACCCGUUUUGGCCAGGCUCGUAGACGAUGCAGACCGUCGUUGCCGUCUCCUCGAUCUACGGCGUUGCAUUCAACGGGCGCGACAUGACCCCACGAGAGAACCGCGACACUGCGCUGGCCUUGAAGAGGGCCUUCGACUGCAUCCCAACUCCGGCGUGGCUCUGGCGCGGGCUCACCCUCUGCAGCGCAUGUUCCCGGGACGAGCGGACAAUGGGACCUCGUGGCCCUGAUGUGUUUAACCGCGAGCAGGAGCAUGAGACGGGGGGGGGCACGGCAGAAAGAGAGCACGCAGCCGCAGAGCAGCGGGAAAUCGGGGUGCCGCUACGGGCACACGAUGGGGGCACAGCCCCGCUGACCGUGUAAGUGCGCCGUGCACAUGAGGCGCCUUUUGUUUUCUUGUCUGCUGGAGCUGCGGCUCAUCUUCAUUCGGAUGGUGCCUCUGCCAUCGCUGCUGUCCUCACGGGCUACCUUCAAACAGUCAUACAGCCAACGCGGAGCGACUUCACUCCUUGACUCGCCGUCCAUGCGUGAACCAUGGCCCGCUGCAUAAAAUCCGGCGAGAACCCCACAGACAGGACGAGUCGUGAUCUUGCCCGCCAAGCUACAAGGGCCACAACUGGCGGCACCGUGAGGUGCGACAUGUAACUGGAAGGGCGAGUUUCUCCGCACUCUCCUCCGUACACACAAGCACAGGCAUAUACGCGUAUUGGCGCUCCUGCAUGAGGAGACGCGCUCUGUGCCUCUCGGUACGGCGUUGGUGUCAGCGGCAGGGUCGCACACACACUGCCCCUAGAAGUCAGAUCGACUGUGACGAAUAUGCGGACUUGCUCAAGAGGCCUCCAUGGAACUCUCGCCCUCUCCCUUCCCUCACCCAUCUCACGUGCUCACGCUGGCGACUGAAUGCUGGUAG
rnacentral:misc_RNA from 1 species